CUGCCAGCCUUCCAGAGACACUGGCAGGACCAGGGGACUGCAAGUCAGGAGUGAGGGGCUCUGGCAAUUUGCAUUGUGCAAAUUGCACAAUGAUGAAUGUCAUUUGGGAGUAAUGGAGGGCCAC